AGAACGAACGCUGGCGGCAUGCCUAACACAUGCAAGUCGAACGAGACCUUCGGGUCUAGUGGCGCACGGGUGCGUAACGCGUGGGAAUCUGCCCUUGGGUCCGGAAUAACAGUUAGAAAUGACUGCUAAUACCGGAUGAUGACUUCGGUCCAAAGAUUUAUCGCCAUUGGAUGGGCCCGCGUCGGAUUAGCUAGUUGGUGGGGUAACGGCCUACCAAGGCGACGAUCCGUAGCUGGUCUGAGAGGAUGAUCAGCCACACUGGGACUGAGACACGGCCCAGACUCCUACUGGAGGCAGCAGUGGGGAAUAUUGGACAAUGGGCGCAAGCCUGAUCCAGCCAUGCCGCGUGAGUGACGAAGGUCUUCGGAUUGUAAAGCUCUUUUGGCGGGACGAUAAUGACGGUACCGCAGAAUAAGCCCCGGCUAACUUCGUGCCAGCAGCCGC
rnacentral:rRNA from 1 species